rnacentral:rRNA from 1 species
CAGCAGCCGCGGUAAUACGGAGGGCGCGAGCGUUGUCCGGAUUCACUGGGCGUAAAGCGGGUGUAGGCGGUCGGGUAAGUCGGACGUGAAAGCCCGGGGCUCAACCCCGGAAGGGCGUCCGAAACUGCUCGACUUGAGGGCGGGAGAGGGAGGUGGAAUUCCCGGUGUAGCGGUGAAAUGCGCAGAUAUCGGGAGGAACACCAGUGGCGAAGGCGGCCUCCUGGCCCGCUCCUGACGCUGAGACCCGAAAGCGUGGGGAGCAACCCGGAUUAGAACCCCGGGUAGUCCACGCCGUAAACGGUGGGCACUAGGUGUGGGGGGUUAAUCCCUCCGUGCCGAAGCUAACGCAUUAAGUGCCCCGCCUGGGGAGUACGGCCGCAAGGUUGAAACUUAAAGGAAUUGGCGGG